CGAAUCUGUCGAAACCUCAUUCAUAAGUGGAUUGAGUUUCAAUAUGGAUUCUUGGGCAUUUUCUUUUGGUGCAUCAAUAUAAGUCUCAGAAUUUUGUGACGACACUAUAUCACUUAAAGUAAUGAUGUUUUCAAAAGUAAAAGAUGAAUCUUCCUUAAAAUUUCCCCCCUGAAGAUGAAUGUCACUAAAAAAUGGUUGAUUUUCAACAAAAG
rnacentral:lncRNA from 1 species